rnacentral:rRNA from 1 species
UAUCUCUGUAGAGUCUGCAUAUCAAUAAGCGGAGGAAAAGAAACUAACUAGGAUUCCCUCAGUAACGGCGAGUGAAGCGGGAAGAGCUCAAAUUUGAAAUCUUCAAGGUUCUACCUUGACGAAUUGUAGUUUAAAGAAGUGUUUUCUGUUGGAGUUUUGGUAAAAGUUCUUUGGAAUAGGACAUCAUAGAGGGUGAGAAUCCCGUAUUUGACCAUUAUUUCCAGCUUUGUGAUACACUUUCAAAGAGUCGGAUUGUUUGGGAAUGCAGUCCAAAAUGGGUGGUAGAUUUCAUCUAAAGCUAAAUACUGGCGAGAGACCGAUAGCGAACAAGUACCGUGAGGGAAAGAUGAAAAGAACUUUGAAAAGAGAGUUAAACAGUACGUGAAAUUGUCAAAAGGGAAGCGUUUGACACCAGUGUUGUUUUCUCGAAAAUCAAUUAAAAAAGGCAGGAUUUUGUGUUGUAUUGACUUUAUCAGCUUUCUGCACUCUUUUCUUGUCUUUUUUAAUGCACUUUUCGUUUAACAAGUCAACAUCAAUUUCUUUUGUUGUAAAAGGGUCAUUGGAAGGUGGCUUUCUUUUCGGAGAAAGUGUUUAUAGCCUUUGGCCUCUGCAAUCGGAGAGAUUGAGGUCUGCAGCGUAGAUCCUUCGGGGCUAGAUACAUUUGUGCUAAGUUAUAGCCUUUCAUAGACAACUUGUUGACUAUGAUCAGUCAUGUAGCUUACUCGCUUAUGCUAUUUUACCUACGCUUAGGAUGUUGACGAUCAGCUGAGCGCG